rnacentral:rRNA from 2 species
UCAGGACGAACGCUGGCGGCAUGCCUAAUACAUGCAAGUCGAACGAGCUUCCGUUGAAUGACGUGCUUGCACUGAUUUCAACAAUGAAGCGAGUGGCGAACUGGUGAGUAACACGUGGGAAAUCUGCCCAGAAGCAGGGGAUAACACUUGGAAACAGGUGCUAAUACCGUAUAACAACAAAAUCCGCAUGGAUUUUGUUUGAAAGGUGGCUUCGGCUAUCACUUCUGGAUGAUCCCGCGGCGUAUUAGUUAGUUGGUGAGGUAAAGGCCCACCAAGACGAUGAUACGUAGCCGACCUGAGAGGGUAAUCGGCCACAUUGGGACUGAGACACGGCCCAAACUCCUACGGGAGGCAGCAGUAGGGAAUCUUCCACAAUGGACGAAAGUCUGAUGGAGCAAUGCCGCGUGAGUGAAGAAGGGUUUCGGCUCGUAAAACUCUGUUGUUAAAGAAGAACACCUUUGAGAGUAACUG